rnacentral:rRNA from 1 species
UACGAGGGGUGCAAGCGUUGUUCGGAAUUAUUGGGCGUAAAGGGCAGGUAGGUGGUCUUGAAAGUCUACUGUGAAAUCCCCGGGCUCAACCCGGGACGUGCGGUAGAUACUCCAAGACUAGAGUACUGGAGGGGUUCGUGGAAUUCCUGGUGUAGCGGUGAAAUGCGUAGAUAUCAGGAGGAACACCGGUGGCGAAGGCGGGGUCUCUGGGCCGAUACUGACGUGAGGAGCGAAAAGCCGUGGGGGAGCGAAACAG